AUACGUAGGUGACAAGCGUUAUCCGGAUUUAUUGGGUUUAAAGGGAGCGUAGGUGGACAGUUAAGUCAGUUGUGAAAGUUUGCGGCUCAACCGUAAAAUUGCAGUUGAUACUGGCUGUCUUGAGUACAGUAGAGGUGGGCGGAAUUCGUGGUGUAGCGGUGAAAUGCUUAGAUAUCACGAAGAACUCCGAUUGCGAAGGCAGCUCACUGGACUGCAACUGACACUGAAGCACGAAAGCGUGGGUAUCAAACAGGAUUAGAUACCCUGGUAGUCCGCACAGUAAACGAUGAAUACUCGCUGUUUGCGAUACACGGUAAGCGGCCAAGCGAAAGCGUUAAGUAUUCCACCUGGGGAGUACGCCGGCAACGGUGAAACUCAAAUGAAUUGGCGGGG
rnacentral:rRNA from 1 species